UCUUCAGUUGCCUCAGAAGAAAACAAGUCCUGAAAGGAAAACUUUUGCUGAUGUGGAAGAGGUGAAACAAAAAAUGGCAGAAGCACUAAAAGGCAUCAAAAAUUGACAAUUUCAAGAACUAUUCUGAGCAGUGGAAAAAAGAAGUCUCAGUAUGUAUAUUGAAUCAGAUGGAGAAU